rnacentral:misc_RNA from 1 species
GCUGAACACUUCAUACAAACACCAAGCAUGUAGAUGAACUUCCCCAAAACAAUGAAGUCUCUACCAAGCAAAUCUACACCAUGCCUUUUCUUAUCAAAUCCUUCCAUGGCUGGAAGCAUAAAAGCCGCUGCAUACUGGGGAAACUUAUUCUGGGACCAUUCAAGCUGGUUUACCGGUAAAGCUGAAUGAAGGCUCCAACGGCGUGUCUUUCCUCUCUUGAUCUGACCUGAUUUAGGGGGAAGUUCUCUCUCAUA